GAUAAACGCUAGCGGCAGGCCUAACACAUGCAAGUCGAGGGGUAGCAGGAGAUUUCGGUCUCGCUGACGACCGGCGCACGGGUGAGUAACGCGUAUACAACCUACCCAUAUCAGGGGGAUAGCCCGGAGAAAUCCGGAUUAAUACCCCAUAAUAUUUAUGUAAGGCAUCUUAUGUAACUUAAACUUACGGGGGAUAUGGAUGGGUAUGCGUGCCAUUAGUUAGAUGGUGAGGUAACGGCUCACCAUGACGAUGAUGGCUACGGGGUCUUAAAGGAUGGUCCCGCACACUGGUACUGAGACACGGACCAGACUCCUACGGGAGGCAGCAGUGAGGAAUAUUGGUCAAUGGAGGCAACUCUGAACCAGCCAUGCCGCGUGAAGGAUGACUGCCCUAUGGGUUGGAAACUUCUUUUUUACGGGUAAGGAACACGUUUACGUUUUUGGUAGACGACU
rnacentral:rRNA from 1 species